rnacentral:lncRNA from 1 species
AGUAAAGGAAUCCUUUUAACAAUAUGUAUGAGAACCUUGAAAGUCAAGUCGUUUCUCACAUAUAUUUUAAAGUUAGGUACUCUUACCAAUUGUAUCCCCAUACAAUUUUCUUAAAUAGCUCUAUGUCAAAUAGUUCCCUGGUAGUCAGGUCGAUCCUAUUGGCACAGUUGAGUUCAACCAUCAUGAUAGCAAAGAACUUAUUAAAUUUUAUACUCCCCCGGGUAAUCCAUGCGUCUAGUGUAAAAUUAAAUAAUUCUUUCAAUCCAUACAUCUAAUGCAAUAAAUAAUUUUAACAUAUUCUCGAACUAUAAGUCUCCUGGUAGUCAGGUCUAUUGUAAAAUUGAAUAAUUCUUUAAAUCCAUACAUCUAAUGCAAUAAAUAAUUUUAAUAUAUUCUCGAACUAUAUGUCUCCUGGUAGUCCGGCCGCUCCUUAUAAACAAGAAAUAAGUAAAAUUAUUUACCUUGAUGGACAGCUCUAUAAUAGAAUAUCUUAUAUCAAGAGAAAAUUGUUACAAAAACAACUUUUAAUAACAGCAAGAUCAAAUCUUUUAUAACAUGUGAAUUUAUUUCUGGUUGUAUACAUGCUUAGUCCUUAUUUAAUUUACAUUACAUGGAAUAACUAAUUUAAAAUUAUGUAAUGAACAAGCAUGUGAUAUAAAACAUGAAAUUCAACAUACUUCUAAUAUGUUUAUAUUAUAUAUCAGAUAUAUAAAAUAAUUCAUGCCAAAAAAUUAUUAUUAGUUAAUACCUCAUAAACUAAUAACAAUUUAAAUAAUUGUAUAAUCUAAUAACCUAUUAUAGAUUACCUUAUCAUAUACGAA